rnacentral:rRNA from 1 species
CAGUCGCCGCGGGAAUACGAAGGGUGCAAGCGUUAAUCGGAAUGACUGGGCGUAAAGGGCGCGUAGGCGGCUUGGUAAGUUAGAGGUGAAAGCCCAGGGCUCAACCCUGGAAUUGCCUUUAAGACUGCCGAGCUAGUAGGUGAGAGAGGUGAGUGGAAUUCCGAGUGUAGAGGUGAAAUUCGUAGAUAUUCGGAAGGAACACCUGUGGCGAAAGCGGCUCACUGACCAUUUCUGACGCUGAUGCACGAAAGCUAGGGGAGCAAACAGGAUUAGAUACCCCCGUAGUCCCUGUCUCUUAUAC